AGGCUCACCUGGAACAAAGCACUCCCAAUUCACACUUUUCAAACAAACAACCAAUCAAGCACACGGUCAACCUGUCAGACUGUCCCCAUAACAGACACUCAGAUACUUACCAACACAGCCUCCCUAAUGCAGCCCUUAGCGUAUCUCCUCUCAAACAGAUCCCAGUCAAACUCCCUCUGUUAGCCUCUCUGCUGUUCACUGCCUUCUUCAGCUGGUUUGCAGCUGAGUG